rnacentral:misc_RNA from 1 species
CCCAAGUUGCUCGCUUAAGUCAAUUUCUCCCUUUCAAAAAAUCAAACCGGACGUAAAUUUUUAGUCCCUCAGUGGGUUUCUCAUUUUUCCUCCCUCAAUCGAUCGUCAGAAACUUUUUCAACAUGGGUACAAGAUCCAAACCCAUUACUACUGCUCUUUUCCUUUGCUUCCUUCUGUUGCCUUUGGUUUUUGCUGCACAUAAUGAUGGAUUGGUCAGAAUUGGACUGAAAAAGAGGAAGUUCGAUCAAAACAACCUUGUGGCUGCGCAGUUUGAGUCC